rnacentral:rRNA from 1 species
GUGCCAGCCGCGCGGUAAAACCAGCACCUCAAGUGGUCAGGAUGAUUAUUGGGCCUAAAGCAUCCGUAGCCGGCUCUGUAAGUUUUCGGUUAAAUCUGUACGCUCAACGUACAGGCUGCCGGGAAUACUGCAGAGCUAGGGAGUGGGAGAGGUAGACGGUACUCGGUAGGAAGGGGUAAAAUCCUUUGAUCUAUUGAUGACCACCUGUGGCGAAGGCGGUCUACCAGAACACGUCCGACGGUGAGGGAUGAAAGCUGGGGGAGCAAACCGGAUUAGAUACCCGGGUAGUCCCAGCUGUAAACUAUGCAAACUCAGUGAUGCAUUGGCUUGUGGCCAAUGCAGUGCUGCAGGGAAGCCGUUAAGUUUGCCGCCUGGGAAGUACGUACGCAAGUAUGAAACUUAAAGGAAUUGGCGGGGGAGCACCACAAGGGGUGAAGCCUGCGGUUCAAUUGGAGUCAACGCCAGAAAUCUUACCCGGAGAGACAGCAGAAUGAAGGUCAAGCUGAAGACUUUACCAGACAAGCUGAGAAGUGGUGCAUGGCCGUCGCCAGCUCGUGCCGUGAGAUGUCCUGUUAAGUCAGGUAACGAGCGAGAUCCCUGCCUUUAGUUGCCACCAUUACU